UACGGGGGGGGCAAGCGUUGUUCGGAAUUACUGGGCGUAAAGGGCUCGUAGGCGGCCAACUAAGUCGGAUGUGAAAUCCCCAGGCUUAACCUGGGAACUGCAUCCGAUACUGGAUGGCUUGAAUUCGGGAGAGGGAUGCAGAAUUCCAGGUGUAGCGGUGAAAUGCGUAGAUAUCUGGAGGAAUACCGGUGGCGAAGGCGGCAUCCUGGACCGGCAUUGACGCUGAGUGAGCGAAAGCCAGGGGAGCAAACGGG
rnacentral:rRNA from 1 species